AAAAUAAAAUAAAAAAGGCAGAGCCUCCAUCUCUUUCGGCCCUCCGAGCUCCGGCGCCAAACUCAACCCCCUCUUUCCGAUUUAGACCCGACGAUGGCGCAGGUAAGUCCUCGUCCUUCCCUUUUUAUUAUUUAUUUCUUAUGUAGAAGAUAAAAUAAAAAUAAAAAUAAAAUGAAACAAACAAAAACGUAAAUAAAAAAAAUCACCUUCAAAAGUCUGUUUUGUUUUUUUUUAUUUCAAUAAUCGUAAAAGCAAAGGAAGAAGAAGUUCUUCCUUACAGUAGAUUCGGUUUUAACCGAAAAAAAGAAAAAUAAAAGAGAAAAAAAAAUUUCCCCCUAUUACAGUGAUUUCGCCCCCUCUACAUUUUACAAUAUACUAGGCUUUAUAGCCGAAAGAAAAAAUGAAAAAUCGAGGGAAAAUCUCCUCUUUUGCUACUGUUUUCCUAGUCUGCUUCCAUUUCUCUCUUUUGUUGCUUGUUUGCAGGUACACAGCAAGGUCAACUUGCCAUUUCGGUGAAAGGAGGGCUGGCGGUGGCAGACAUCGGGCGUGGUGCACGCUGAAGGCGCACAUGGCGUAGCAACGGCGCGAGGGGCGCCAGAAACCCUAGGGUUUCUGGCCAUUCCAAAAUUUUUAAGGUUUUGGGCCACCGGGCUUUGUUUCUGUAAUUGGGCUUAAUUUAGUUUGUUGGGCUGGAGCAAAUUUGGGCUUUGUACAGUAUUUAUUAUAUAUGGUUAAAUCGGUGUAUAACCUAUUGAAUAAGCGGACAAAAAAUUAGUGGUUUAAUCGAUUCAAUCAAUAGUUUGAUCUUGAAAACCAUGCCCGGCAUAGCAAAUCAACUGACUUGUCCUCUAGAAAUGAUCUCAACAUGGCUAGGCUUCCCUUGGGGUAGCAAAUCUACUAAGCUAGCCUAUGGAGAUUAUCUCAACGCGGCUAGACUUUUCCUAGCAUAGAGGAUCAACUAACUUGGCUUCUAAAGAUGAUGUCAACGUGGGCUUCUCCCAGCGUAGCGGAUCAACUAAGUUAGCCUCUCGGGAGAUGAUCAGGUUGAUCUCGGACUAUGGAGACUUACAAGGACGUCUGUAGAGAAAGGGAUAAUGUUAGCGGGCACCAGAGGACUUCCUUCCGAGGCAUACUCCAACUCAACUCAAUGAUCAGGUAUAACUUAAUGCAAGAAAAGAAGAAGUUUUGAAAAAGAGGGGUAGAAGAUGCUUUUCAAUUGCUAUGUAGUGAAGUAUAUGACUGGUCUUUCUGUGAAUGGCAGUGAAUCCUUCCAUUUAUAGCCAAUGGUGAAGUAACUUGGUGCCAUGUGACGUUUCAUCAUUAGCUUGGUGUUGAGGUAUCUUUCUGAGAUGCAUUGAACCUUGGUCAAGUGGUCUUGCAAGUGGGAACCAGGUCUUGGAGGGUCUUCCGUUUGGGGCCUUGCCUUGGGCCUAGCUUUCCUUGGAUUAGUCAUGUUGGGUGCUCUGGAGAUCAUCUUGAGGGUUUUGGUUGUCCGUUACCUUCUGCGAUCAACUUUUAUUUUCAUCUCAACAAGAACCAUAAAAUAUUUAAAGAUAUCAACUUUUUUAAAUAGUAAAUGACAUUUUUAAAAUUGUAAAUGUUAAUUAUCUUAAAGUUUGACCUUAUUUUAUUUUUUUAAUAAGAUAUGGACCAAAUUGAUUCAUUUAAUGGUAAAUGGACUAAUUUGAUAAAGAUCUUAUAAUAGAGGAACA
rnacentral:lncRNA from 1 species